GUGCUGGCCUUGGCAGAACAUACACUAAAAUUGGAAUGACACAAAGAAGAUUAGCAUGGUCCCUGUGCAAGGAUGACAUGGAAAUUUGUGAAGCAUUCCAUAUGGGG
ensembl:snRNA U6 U6 spliceosomal RNA